UACAGAGGGUGCGAGCGUUAAUCGGAAUUACUGGGCGUAAAGCGCGCGUAGGCGGCUUUUCAAGUCGAUUGUGAAAUCCCCGGGCUUAACCUGGGAACUGCAGUCGAGACUGUCUAGCUAGAGUAUGGGAGAGGGAAGUGGAAUUUCAGGUGUAGCGGUGAAAUGCGUAGAUAUCUGGAGGAACACCGAUGGCGAAGGCAGGUCUCUGGGCCACUACUGACGCUGAGAAGCGAAAGCAUGGGGAGCGAACAGG
rnacentral:rRNA from 1 species